rnacentral:rRNA from 1 species
CUGAGUACGGCGGAACACGUGAAAUUCCGUCGGAAUCCGGGAGGACCAUCUCCCAAGGCUAAAUACUCCCUAGUGACCGAUAGUGAACCAGUACCGUGAGGGAAAGGUGAAAAGCACCCCGGAAGGGGAGUGAAACAGUUCCUGAAACCGUGUGCCUACAAGUAGUUAGAGCCCGUUAAUGGGUGAUAGCGUGCCUUUUGUAGAAUGAACCGGCGAGUUACGAUUUGUUGCAAGGUUAAGCGGAAAAAGCGGAGCCGUAGCGAAAGCGAGUCUGAAUAGGGCGCAUAAGUAACAGGUCGUAGACCCGAAACCAGGUGAUCUACCCAUGUCCAGGAUGAAGGUAAGGUAAUACUUACUGGAGGUCCGAACCCACGCACGUUGAAAAGUGCGGGGAUGAGGUGUGGGUAGCGGAGAAAUUCCAAUCGAACUUGGAGAUAGCUGGUUCUCUCCGAAAUAGCUUUAGGGCUAGCCUCGAGGUAAAGAGUCAUGGAGGUAGAGCACUGUUUGGACUAGGGGCCCUUCUCGGGUUACCGAAUUCAGAUAAACUCCGAAUGCCAUGUACUUAUACUCGGGAGUCAGACUGCGAGUGAUAAGAUCCGUAGUCGAAAGGGAAACAGCCCAGACCACCAGUUAAGGUCCCCAAAUAUAUGUUAAGUGGAAAAGGAUGUGGGGUUGCUUAGACAACCAGGAUGUUGGCUUAGAAGCAGCCACCAUUGAAAGAGUGCGUAAUAGCUCACUGGUCGAGUGACCCCGCGCCGAAAAUGUACCGGGGCUAAACAUAUUACCGAAACUGUGGAUGAACCUCUUUAGAGGUUCGUGGUAGGAGAGCGUUCUAAGGGCGGUGAAGUCAGACCGGAAGGACUGGUGGAGCGCUUAGAAGUGAGAAUGCCGGUAUGAGUAGCGAAAGAAGGGUGAGAAUCCCUUCCACCGAAUAUCUAAGGUUUCCUGAGGAAGGCUCGUCCGCUCAGGGUUAGUCGGGACCUAAGCCGAGGCCGAUAGGCGUAGGCGAUGGACAACAGGUAGAGAU